rnacentral:tRNA from 1 species
GGCCUUGUAGGUCAAGGGAUAGACCCUCGGUUUCCUAAACCGGUAAUCCCGGUUCGAAUCCGGGCGAGGCUA